rnacentral:rRNA from 1 species
UGGGGAAUAUUGCACAAUGGGCGGAAGCUUGAUGCAGCGACGCCGCGUGAGGGAUGACGGCCUUCGGGGUGUAAACCUCUUUCAGUAGGGACGAAGCGUAAGUGACGGUACCUGCAGAAGAAGCACCGGCUAACUACGUGCCAGCAGCCGCGGUAAUACGUAGGGUGCGAGCGUUGUCCGGAAUUACUGGGCGUAAAGAGCUCGUAGGCGGUUUGUCACGUCGUCGGUGAAAUCCUAGGGCUUAACCCUGGACGUGCAGGCGAUACGGGCUGACUUGAGUACUACAGGGGAGACUGGAAUUUCUGGUGUAGCGGUGGAAUGCACAGAUAUCAGGAAGAACACCGAUGGCGAAGGCAGGUCUCUGGGUAGUAACUGACGCUGAGGAGCGACAGCAUGGGUAGCGAACAGG